rnacentral:rRNA from 1 species
UAUAUUUCAACAGCCGCGGUACUCUGACCGUGCAAAGGUAGCAUAAUCAUUUGCCUUAUAAUUGAAGGCUAGUAUGAAUGGUUUGACGAGAAUUGAGCUGUCUCUUUUUGAUUAAAUAUAAUUUUAUUUAUAGGUGAAGAAGCCUAUUUCCUAUUGAAAGACAAGAAGACCCUAUCGAGCUUUAAAAAAUUUAGUAGACUUUAAACUUUAUUUAUAAAAAACAAAGCUAUUAAAAACUUUGGUUGGGGCGACUGAGGAACAAAAAAAGCUUCCUUUAUUAAAUAAAUUACUAACAAGUAUUGAUCCAAUAUAUUUGAUUAAAGGAAUUAGUUACCGUAGGGAUAACAGCAUAAUCCUCUUUGAGAGUUCUUAUCGAAAAGGGGGUUUGUGACCUCGAUGUUGGACCAGAAUAUCCUGAAGAUGCAGCCGUCUUCAAUGGUUGGUCUGUUCGACCAUUAAAAUUCUACGUGAUCUGAGUUCAGACCGGCGUGAGCCAGGUCAGUUUCUAUCUUCAAUUUUUAAAAUGACCUUAGUACGAAAGGACCAGGUUAUUACAAAAAUGAUUUGUAACACUUAGAUUAAAUAUAAAAAAUAAUUAAGCUUAUAAAUAUCAAAUUAGCAAAGAUUAAUGCAAUUGACUUAGGAUCAAUAGACAUAGGUGAAACCCCUUUAUUUGAUAAAUAAAGAUGGCAGAAGAA